UUGCUCUUGAGGCUUCGAAUCAGAAUUUGAUAAAAUUAUGAUUUUGCCCCUGAAGUACAAUAAAUCAUUUUUCAAGUCAAAAUCAUUAGUAACCCCCUCAAAUAUUUUAUAAUCAUCAAAAUCAAUUCAUGGAGCAAUAAGUCUACAAUGUGGGAAUACUAGAGCAAAGUGUAGAUAGUUGUUAGAGAAUAAAAGUACCAAGGCUGACCAACAUGAGAAGUCACUUGGACGUCUACUCAUUCGUCAGUAACUUUUUCGAUGCUGCAAUAGUGUGACUGAUUUUUUAACCUACAGUGCCUCGAUCAUUCAUA
rnacentral:lncRNA from 1 species